CUACAGAGGGUGCGAGCGUUAAUCGGAAUUACUGGGCGUAAAGCGCGCGUAGGCGGUCUAUUAAGUCAGAUGUGAAAUCCCAGGGCUCAACCUUGGAACUGCAUCUGAUACUGGUAGACUAGAGUUUUGGAGAGGGAAGUAGAAUUUCAGGUGUAGCGGUGAAAUGCAUAGAGAUCUGAAGGAAUACCAGUGGCGAAGGCGACUUCCUGGCCAAAAACUGACGCUGAGGUGCGAAAGCGUGGGUAGCAAACGGGAUUAGAAACCCCAGUAGUCC
rnacentral:rRNA from 1 species